AGAAUAAUGAAAAAGCCAAAAAGGUACAACUAGCAAAACCAAUGUUUUCCUAAUAAAUACUGACCAGGUUCAACGAACCUGCAAGCUCCUCCAUCUUUCUUACACUGUUUAAUGUUCAAUUCCAGCACAUAGAAUCCUUACAAACAAUGUUCAUAAUAUGAAAUGGAAAAAUAAUUUCCAUUUCUUGUUGAGUUUUGGCGCUGUUCAGUUCUUCCUAUGAGGUUCAAGGGAAGCAUUUUUCUUGCUCAGCUUUCAUCAUGCAAGGAAACAGAAAAAACACUGGAAAAGAAAUUGAACAUGAAGCCUGGAUACUAUUCAACUGCUGCCCAGAAUUCCUAGCAACAGUGUCUUAGUAUGUGUCCUUGUGCUGAUAUACAACAAGAGUUCCCCUUCAAACUUCAAGUUUACGUUAUGGCAUGUUUGAUACUGGAAAUUAAAUCCUGUUAUUCAUUGUAAUUUUGUGACGUAUUCAGUACUAUGUGACAAAUAUGCAUUUGGUUUUAUUCUUAAUAAUUCUAAUCUAUAUUGUGUAAUCAGACAGUAUAUUCGAUUUGUUUA